CAUAUAUUUCCACACAUAUGCAUGAAAGCUCCGAUUGUUUGGAUAGGCGAUAAUAAUUAUUUUAAAAGGUGUUCUUAUAAAAUACAGCACUCAUUUACUCCAGUAAGGAGUAUAGAAUACGAUAGCAGUUUAAUACAAUGUACUGAAACAAAUAAUAAAUAUUUCGUUAACAAAUCAUAUUAACAUUUAUAUUGUAAUUAGGUUUGGUGUAGCUCAAAAGAUAUAAUGGAGAACGUCUUAAGAAUUGGUAUAUCAGAUAUGACUGAAAUGUCGGAAAUAAAUGAACUUGGAAUAAACGAAAAUCUUAAUCUCCGGUAUUGCAGCGACAUAAUCUACACUUACACAGGUUCAAUACUUAUUGCAGUAAAUCCUUAUAAACCUAUUAAUAUUUUUAACAAGGAAUAUGUAAAAAAGUACCACGGAUGCAAUUUUGGAGUUUUAGAACCACAUGUUUUUGCGUUAGCUGAAGCAGCCUAUAAAAGUAUUGUUGAUGAUCAAGUAAAUCAGUCAUGUGUAAUAUCUGGAGAGUCAGGAGCUGGAAAGACGGAAACAACAAAAUUAAUAUUACAAUAUUUAUGUUCCAUAACAUCAAACGUGUCCUCUUGGGUUCAACAACAAAUUUUAGAAGCCAAUACAAUUUUGGAAGCGUUUGGAAAUGCAAAAACUAUAAGAAAUGACAACAGCUCCAGAUUUGGUAAAUUUAUGCAAGUCUGUUUUGAUGAAAUCAACUGUAUAAAGGGAUGUAUAAUUCAAGACUAUCUGCUUGAAAAGUCCAGAAUAACUUUUCAAAGUGAUGGAGAGCGCAACUAUCACGUCAUGUAUCAAUUAGUAGCUCAUGGGCAAACCAAUCAGCAAAUGGCAGAGGACUUACAUUUAAGAGCACCAGAAUAUUUUAAGUAUCUUAAUACGUCUAAUACAGAAAAAAUAGACAUUAACUUUGAGUCAGCCAAAUUCGAUGCUCUUACCAUGGCAUUUACAGUUUUACAACUUCAACAAUAUUCAAUAGAUGGAGUUUUUAAAAUAUUAAGCUCUAUUUUGUGGCUAGGAAAUAUUGCGUUUGAGGAUAUUGACGGAGAAGGCUGCGAUUUCUCUCCUGCAGACCAUGAAGCUAUUGUUAUUAUAUCCAAACUUUUGGGCCUGAAAUGCAGUGAUCUUCAAAAAGUAUUACUGGUUCGUCAAAUCAAUGUUCGUGGAAAUAUUACAGAAAUUCCCUUGAAACUUCAAGAGGCCAUAGAAAAUCGUCAUGCCAUGGCUAAAGCUUUAUACUCAAAAACAUUCACGUGGCUUGUAACUAAAAUUAAUAUUUGUACAAAUCCUGGGCAAGAUGGCUCGAAUUUUCUUGGUGUUCUAGAUAUAUUUGGAUUUGAAAAUUUUACAAAAAACUCUUUCGAGCAAUUGUGUAUAAACUAUACCAAUGAAAAGUUGCAUAAAUUUUUUAAUCACUAUGUAUUCGCUUUAGAACAAUCAAUCUAUAUGGAGGAGGAAAUUCUGUUUACCCACGUGGAAUUCACUGAUAAUUCGCAAUGCUUAGAAAUAAUAGAGAAGCCACCUCGAUGUGUAUUUAAAAUUUUGACUGAACAAUGUCACAUGCCAAAGGGUUCUGAUUCUGCUUAUUUGAAUAAUAUGCAUUCGGAAUUUGAGUUUCAUCCAAAUUAUAUAAAAGGAUCUGAUCGGCGACAUUGGGAAAGCGAAUUUGGAAUCAAGCACUAUGCAGGAUGUGUUAUUUAUACUGUUGACGGAUUCGUUGAAAAAAAUCGAGAUGUGCAACAAGACGUUUUAUUUGAUUAUAUGAGCCGCAGUGAAGAUGCAUUUGUAAAGGACUUAUCACAAUACCAGGAUCAGCAAUUCAUAAAAAGUCAAUAUUGCUCAACGUAUUCUCGAGGGUCUUCUAAAACAAAAUUAACUGUAAGUGACCAAUUUCGUCAUCAGCUUCAAUCUUUAAUAGAUGUUCUGCAGAAUACAAAUCCCUGGUACGUCCGUUGCAUAAAACCUAAUCUUGAAAAACGGCCAAAUUGUUAUAAUGCAUUAUUAGUUCUAGAUCAACUAAAAUAUCUUGGAAUUGUUGAUAUAGUUAGAAUAAGAAGAGAGGGCUUUCCGAUUCAUUUAAAUCAUGAAGAAUUCAUUAUAAAGUAUAAAUGUUUAAUGAUACGAAAAUCCUUCGCAAAUACACAUAAUUAUAUAUCGGAUAUAUUAGAAAUAAUAAAAGUUUCAAGCUCAGAAUGGCAAAUUGGCAAGUCAAAGGUUUUCUUAAGAAACGUGGCAUAUCAAUUAUUGGAAGAUAGACGAAAGCAAAUUAUAUACAGGAAUGCAGUCACUAUACAAAAACAUUGGAAAAAGUUUGUUUGUUUUAAGUCGUAUCUACGAAUUAAGAAAGCUGUACUAAUUAUUCAACAUUCAUAUAGAGGAUGGAAACUAAGAAUUCGGUUUUUAAGAAUGAGGAGAAGUGCCAUUAUUAUUCAAAGUCGACUACGUGGAGUUUUUGCUAGAGAGGUAGCAGCAGCGUUAAGAGAGUUAAGACGGGUUGAUGAGGAAAUAAAAAAGCGUGAAAAAACUAUGCUGCAAAUUCCUAAUACCGACUGCAAUGCUCUUGAUGUUUGCGAAAAGCUCGUGCAGGAAGAAUUGGACGCUCUGUCGCAUUUUGCCGAAAAUAUAAAGCAAUCUGUAAUGGAUAGUGAACUCACUGUAAAAAAUUCAUUGGAAUUAUCAACACAGCAGGAUUCGGUUGACUUGGACAACAUCUUUGCAUUUCUGGGUGAAGGCUCUGAGAUGACUUGUGCUAAUAUACUUAUUGAAGAGAUAAAUGAUAAAAUGGAUCACCUGGUUCAGGAUCUUGACCAAGAACGAUGGGUCGUGGGUUUUUUUUUGCGCUUGCGUUAUAAAAUUUUGAGCUCAUCAAACGCGGGUUUGAGACUUUAUUUUAAACACAAAUUUUGUGAGUACUUCUUUGUGUGAUUUAAUAGUAAAGUUUUACCCGUAUCGCUACGCGUUUGUGCCGUGACAUAUUUGGUUAGAACUAUGUAGUCAAGAUGACUCGACUACUAUUUUGAAAGAAUCAGACAGGUGUCUAUUGACUAAGGGCGUCCCAUCACUUCCCG
rnacentral:misc_RNA from 1 species